rnacentral:rRNA from 1 species
UACAGAGGGGGCAAGCGUUGUUCGGAAUUACUGGGCGUAAAGGGCGCGUAGGCGGCCUUCUAAGUCGAACGUGAAAUCCCCGGGCUCAACCCGGGAACUGCGUCCGAUACUGGAAGGCUUGAAUCCGGGGAGAGGGAUGCGGAAUUCCAGGUGUAGCGGUGAAAUGCGUAGAGAUGUGGAGGAAUACCGAUGGCGAAGGCAGCCGUCCUGGGCCGAACACUGACGCUCAUGCACGAAAGCGUGGGGAGCAAACAGG